CGCGGCCUAUCAGCUUGUUGGUGGGGUGAUGGCCUACCAAGGCGACGACGGGUAGCCGGCCUGAGAGGGUGUCCGGCCACACUGGGACUGAGAUACGGCCCAGACUCCUACGGGAGGCAGCAGUGGGGAAUAUUGCACAAUGGGCGCAAGCCUGAUGCAGCGACGCCGCGUGGGGGAUGACGGCCUUCGGGUUGUAAACCUCUUUCACCAUCGGCGAAGCCGGGAGCUUUUGUUUCUGGUGACGGUAGGUGGAGAAGAAGCACCGGCCAACUACGUGCCAGCAGCCGCGGUAAUACGUAGGGUGCGAGCGUUGUCCGGAAUUACUGGGCGUAAAGAGCUCGUAGGUGGUUUGUCGCGUUGUUCGUGAAAUCUCACGGCUUAACUGUGAGCGUGCGGGCGAUACGGGCAGACUGGAGUACUGCAGGGGAGACUGGAAUUCCUGGUGUAGCGGUGGAAUGCGCAGAUAUCAGGAGGAACACCGGUGGCGAAGGCGGGUCUCUGGGCAGUAACUGACGCUGAGGAGCGAAAGCGUGGGGAGCGAACAGGAUUAGAUACCCUGGUAGUCCACGCCGUAAACGGUGGGUACUAGGUGUGGGUUUCCUUCCUUGGGAUCCGUGCCGUAGCUAACGCAUUAAGUACCCCGCCUGGGGAG
rnacentral:rRNA from 1 species